rnacentral:sRNA from 1 species
GGAUGUGAGGGCGAUCUGGCUGCGACAUCUGUCACCCCAUUGAUCGCCAGGGUUGAUUCGGCUGAUCUGGCUGGCUAGGCGGGUGUCCCCUUCCUCCCUCACCGCUCCAUGUGCGUCCCUCCCGAAGCUGCGCGCUCGGUGGAAGAGGACGACCAUCCCAGAUAGAAGGAGUGUACCGUUCUUCGGUCAAGGGUCUGUCUGCCCCAGUGAUUACCCUCUUUCUUUCCUCUUUCCCCAUUGUUCCUUCCCUCCCUCCUUUCCUGCUCUUUUUUAAACCUAAGUCAUUUUAGGUUAAAAAAA